GAUGAACGCUGGCGGCGUGCCUAAUACAUGCAAGUCGAGCGAACAGAUAAGGAGCUUGCUCCUUUGACGUUAGCGGCGGACGGGUGAGUAACACGUGGAUAACCUACCUAUAAGACUGUGAUAACUUCGGGAAACCGGAGCUAAUACCGGAUAACAUAUUGAACCGCAUGGUUCAAUAGUGAAAGGCGGCUUUGCUGUCACUUAUAGAUUGAUCCGCGCCAUAUUAGCUAGUUGGUAAGGUAACGGCUUACCAAGGCAACGAUACGUAGCCGACCUGAGAGGGUGAUCGGCCACACUGGAACUGAGACACGGUCCAGACUCCUACGGGAGGCAGCAGUAGGGAAUCUUCCGCAAUGGGCGAGAGCCUGACGGAGCAACGCCGCGUGAGUGAUGAAGGUCUUCGGAUCGUAAAACUCUGUUAUCAGGGAAGAACAAAUGUGUAAGUAACUGUGCACAUCUUGACGGUACCUGAUCAGAAAGCCGCGGCUAACUACGUGCCAGCCGCCGCAGUAA
rnacentral:rRNA from 1 species